UCUCCGUUGGUGAACCAGCGGAGGGAUCAUUACCGAGUUUACAACUCCCAAACCCAAUGUGAACCAUACCAAACUGUUGCCUCGGCGGGGUCACGCCCCGGGUGCGUCGCAGCCCAGGAACCAGGCGCCCGCCGGAGGGACCAACCAAACUCUUUCUGUAGUCCCCUCGCGGACGUUAUUUUUACAGCUCUGAGCAAAAAUUCAAAAUGAAUCAAAACUUUCAACAACGGAUCUCUUGGUUCUG
rnacentral:misc_RNA from 1 species